rnacentral:rRNA from 1 species
UGAGCUGGGGGUGGCCGCAGAGACCAGCGAGAAGCGACUGUUUACUAAAAACACAGGUCCGUGCGAAGCCGUAAGGCGAUGUAUACGGACUGACGCCUGCCCGGUGCUGGAACGUUAAGGGGACCGGUUAGCUGCCUUUCGGGGUGGCGAAGCUGAGAACUUAAGCGCCAGUAAACGGCGGUGGUAACUAUAACCAUCCUAAGGUAGCGAAAUUCCUUGUCGGGUAAGUUCCGACCUGCACGAAUGGCGUAACGACUUCUCGACUGUCUCAACCAUAGGCCCGGUGAAAUUGCACUACGAGUAAAGAUGCUCGUUUCGCGCAGCAGGACGGAAAGACCCCGGGACCUUUACUAUAGUUUGAUAUUGGUGUUCGGUUCGGCUUGUGUAGGAUAGGUGGGAGACUGUGAAGCGGCCACGCCAGUGGUUGUGGAGUCGUCGUUGAAAUACCACUCUGGUCGUGCUGGAUGUCUAACCUGGGUCCGUGAUCCGGAUCAGGGACAGUGUCUGAUGGGUAGUUUAACUGGGGCGGUUGCCUCCUAAAGAGUAACGGAGGCGCCCAAAGGUUCCCUCAGCCUGGUUGGCAAUCAGGUGUUGAGUGUAAGUGCACAAGGGAGCUUGACUGUGAGACCGACGGGUCGAGCAGGGACGAAAGUCGGGACUAGUGAUCCGGCAGUGGCUUGUGGAAGCGCUGUCGCUCAACGGAUAAAAGGUACCCCGGGGAUAACAGGCUGAUCUUCCCCAAGAGUCCAUAUCGACGGGAUGGUUUGGCACCUCGAUGUCGGCUCGUCGCAUCCUGGGGCUGGAGUCGGUCCCAAGGGUUGGGCUGUUCGCCCAUUAAAGCGGUACGCGAGCUGGGUUUAGAACGUCGUGAGACAGUUCGGUCCCUAUCCGCUGCGCGCGUAGGAAUAUUGAGAAGGGCUGUCCCUAGUACGAGAGGACCGGGACGGACGAACCUCUGGUGUGCCAGUUGUUCUGCCAAGGGCAUGGCUGGUUGGCUACGUUCGGAAAGGAUAACCGCUGAAAGCAUCUAAGCGGGAAGCCUGCUUCGAGAUGAGUAUUCCCACCCCCAUGAGGGGUUAAGGCUCCCAGUAGACGACUGGGUUGAUAGGCCAGAUGUGGAAGCCCGGUAACGGGUGGAGCUGACUGGUACUAAUAGGCCGAGGGCUUGUCCUCAGUUG